GCCAGUGUGGCAUAGUGGUUUGAGUGUUGACUAUGAAUCUGGAAUCAGGGUUCAAAUUCCAGCUUGGCCA